GUAACGACUCUCAGCAACGGAUAUCUUGGCUCUUGCAACGAUGAAGAACGCAGCGAAAUGCGAUACCUAGUGUGAAUUGCAGAAUUCCGCGAAUCAUUGAGUCUUUGAACGCAAGUUGCGCCCGAGGCUUGUCCCGAGGGCAUGCCUGCCUGAGCGUCACCGCACU
rnacentral:rRNA from 1 species